AUCAAUACCAAAUUUUAUCUGGAAUCUCUCCUGUGAUUGUACUCUCAAAUUCUGCAGAUGUUAUUUUCACUGUUCUGCUGCCUCUAAAGCCUUUUGCUCGAUUGUUUAUAUUUUUAUUUAAGAUCUUUUUUCCUCCUUUAAAAUAGAUUGGAACCAAGAUGCCUUUUAGAUUUUUGCAUACCACUAAAGGUCUAUUAGGCAAUGAUUUUCCUAAGACUGGAUCUUGAAGUAAGAUUGAC